rnacentral:tRNA from 1 species
CCUUCGAUAGCUCAGUUGGUAGAGCGGAGGACUGUAGAUCAUUAGGUCGCUGGUUCGAAUCCGGCUCGAAGAA